CAAAUAAUAAAGCUGUAUUCUGCAGCACCUAACCCUCUCUCUCCCCCCCACGACGGUUUGGGAUUUAUAUGAGGAAGUUUCACCUUCCCGAUUGUGAGCCCCGUGCUUUUUAUUACUGGAUGACCAGGCGAUAUGUGGCCACACCAUGCUUUGAGCAAUUCAACAUAAGAAGAGGAGUGCAUGCUAAAAUACCACGGAUGCUUUCGACAUCUUGGAAUUGACCUGCUAUUUGGCUGUGCAGAAAGGCUGCAGGGUUUCAGUGCUCAGAGUCCAUCAUUGUGUUUACAAGUAGUUUAAUACAGGAGUGAACUUACUCUUUAUGAACUGGGAGGCAGAAGGCUUAGAGUAACAAGGAAUUCUCCAGUUUUGUCUAACACACUGCCUUUUCACACCAUAGCCACUAGGUGUAAAGUUAUGGCGUUUGGUGUGCCCAUUUACAAUACUUGCCCAAGGCCUUAGACGAAUUUUCAAUAACUGAAUUGGCUGGAAUUCACCAGGGAAAAUUGAAUAUACUGUAACUGUUUGGGCUGGAUACUGUUUGCAUUUCGGCUAAAAUGUACU